AAUGCGUUUGGGAAUAUAAUAUGUAUAUAAAGGAAACCGUUCAAAAAUCUAUUGUAGGAGGAAAAGUACCAAACAUGUUUUGAAAUGAAAGUUAAACCUAGGAAUAUCGGAAUAGCAAUAGCAACAGUGGAUCACAAAAGCAAUUAGACUUGGUUUUUUAUAUCGAUUGAUGAUAUUCACAAGAUAUUCAAUUACAGAUAUACUGUUUCGAACAAUCAUUAAUUUUUGAUUUUCAUUUCAAUGAAACGAUUUUCGUUCCAAGGUCUGGUCACUCGAAUUUAAAAUAGACCGCUCUUGAAUAACGCAUCUGAAUGGCAAGGUUGAGUGCUCAAAAAAUAAUUGGAUAUAAGGAGGUACUGGGUAAUUUUCCAUUUUCUGACGGCGACUAUACGAAAUCGUAAAAUCCAGUCAUUUCUCUAUUUCAUAAUUGAAAUAAUUGAUUGCACAAAAAGCUAUAACCACGCAUUGAUAGCAACAUAAAAAUCUCAUAUUCAGGUUAAAUUUUUGUGUUACCAUUCAGUAUUGAACUUUAGUUUAAUGUUAAAUACUCGGGGAUAAUUCACUUAUGGUAAACGGUAAGCUGAUUCGACAUAGAAAAUGGUUUUGUGAAUUUUGCAAGUGAAUCAAAAGAAAUGUCCUGUCCCGGAUACUACGCCAAUCUAAGAUCAUUUCUUGUGUCUUAUGUCCUGGAGCCAUAAAUAUCAUUUUUCAUAAUGUCCUCUUCCGAAAAGCAUUAAAAGACCACACCAACAUAAUGAAAAAUUGUUUUUUGAUUCGUGUGAUGGCCCUUCAUCAGAUUCGGUGCAUCAGUGAUUAAAAAUGUGAAAUAUAUUCUUUCAUGAAAUUUGGUACAACUACCUAUCUCACUCACAUAUCAAAUAAACCUUGUCAUUUUUAUAAUGUGUGACAUAAUCUGGCUCUGGUGUAACCAUUAUUCAGAUGAAUACAAGAUGGCUUAUGAACUGAUUCGAGAUUCGAUAUUGUUUGGACUCUCAAGGCAAUACCACCUGGUUACUUCAUAGAAUUUCAAAUAUUGUUUGGAUUGUAACACUGAUAACUCGAAAGAAUGCGGUUUCGGUAUAACUGACCAACUUCCAAAAUGACAUUCAUCACUCCGAACAAUUCAGGUUGUCAUCCGUGAUGAAGGAGUAUGCAGGAAAUGGCCAUACUCUCUGGUAUCAUAUUCAAGUAUCGCCAUCCCCAGCUUAAGAAUAAGAAGCCCUUUUUUCUUCUGGAUUUAAAAAGAUUGAUAAAUUGAAACUAUUCUGAGAGAAAACUUAACACUUAAGUGAUCAUCCCUCGGAUCAUCCAAUCGAUUUUUUCGGAACUAUCUUUCUCCUUCCCAACUUCCAAAGCUUCACUUAUAAGGUUUUUCAAUAAGGAAUAUGGGUUGAGUCGUUACAAGAAAUUUUUUCAUUCUGAAUAUGGUUGUGCAUAAGUUUCUCCACAUUUACUGAUGAAAAACGGAAUAAUUUGAUGAAAUAAUACUAGACCGAUAUCUAUUUGAAUGUCAUGAUUCAUUAAUAUGUUAUUAUUAUUGUAAUCCUAAUUUUUGUUCGAUUAUGGAGAACCAGUGGCAGUAAUGUUUUGUGUACGAUUUGUUACAAUGUGCUUGCGCCACUUUACACAGAGCACUCUUAAUUUUUAAAUCAACAGUGGAUGGCGGUUCAUUCCGAUUGAACCAGAAAUUUUCAUAUAAAGCCCCGGUAUCGAAUUUGGGAUCUUGCAAUCCUAAGCCAAGGCUGCAACUGCAAACCACUGAACUACGCAGAACGGAUGACUUGGAAAAACAUUAUGUGGAAGAAUUUUUCUUACAGGUGGAUUAGAAAGAGCCUUGUGGGUACUCAGAGUAUAUCAACAGAAAAUUCAAGUU